AGGGCCCCGCGCGGUUCGAGCGCGGUGGGAGCGGCGCCAGGCUCCGCCACCGGCACCGACCCGCUCGGAGCUGAGGGACGGCCGCGAGUGCGCCGUGCCGCAGCUCUCCGCUAGCCCGGGCCUCUGGGUCGGGGUCCUGCGGCGUCCCCCACCCUGGCUGUGGUGCUGCCCGUCCGCCUGGGGCCGGUUCGCUUUCGUGUCGCGUUGCGCCGGUCGCAGGCAGCGAGGCAAGUUCUGCGCGUUCGUGUAUGCGCCGUUCGCUUCUCGGGCUCCUCGCCAGCUGCACGGGACUGCCAGAUCUCAGAAUUUUUUGGCAAAUAAUGUAUAGCAGGUUUUUCCAGUUUUCAUAUAUGGCAAGUCAUGAAGCUUUUUGUACCUCAUGAAUGCAUACAGAAUUCCUUACAAAAGGGACAAUUUGUUAUAUUUGUCUAGUGAACGUAGGAGGAUGUACUGUGUGAAAUGAAUGUCUACAUUUGGAAAUUGAGCUUUUUUCUUUAUUGUAUUUUUUCUCCUUUUUGUUUUUAUAAAUAGUUUUCAUGCCCAUUUAACAGUGUUUUAAUAUUAACUAUUACUUUAGCCUUAUCCAUGUUACCAAUGGAAUGUAGUAUGUGGACUUGCUCUAAAAGUGAUGCUCACGACGACCUGCUCGCAAAUGUAGAGACAUUACAGAAUCAGCUGAGGAGAACUGAAAAAAAUCUACAAACUGUAGAAAAAGAGCUAUCCAGUACAAGUGAACAUUACAGCCACUGCUUCGAUGAGGUGAUAGACGUCCCUCUGAAGGACUUUGUACAGCCGAAUUACGAUUGUCAAGGAUUUUCCAGCUUGAAGAAGAAUUGUGGUAGAACAUCUCGCCAGGAUUUUCAAAGAAAAUCCAAAUCUUACUCAGUAUCCACAACUUUGGGUAAAACUGUGGAAGAAAAUGAACAUCUUCAGGAGAAGUUGGAUGCCCUUCAUGAGCAAAAUGCAUCUUUGACUUCUCAGAACUACUACCUAAAGAACAGAGUGGAAACAAUGAACUUUGAAUUGAUGCAAUCAAAAACAAAAAUUUCAUACCUUGAGGCUGCUUUAGCUACACAUUUAGUCAGCAUUCCAAAGUUGAAAGAACAGAUUGUAAAUUUGGAAGCAGAAGUUUCAGCUCAAGAUAAAAUUCUGAAAGAUGCAGAAGAUAGACUAGAUCAAAAUCAGAAAACAGCAAUGGAAAGAGAACACAUGUUGCAAAGAUAUCAAAAGGGCUAUAAAAAUCUGCAAAUUGAAUUAAUUGAACAAAGCAAGCAAGAAAGGAGAGCACAUCAGCAAAGAAAUGAAGCUUUGUUGAAUGUGGAGGAGAUGACAAGAGCUUUCACAAAGUGUAAAGCAGAAAUAACUGAAAAACUAGAAAGGGCUAAAGCUGAAGAAGUAGUCUUGGGAGAACGUUUAAUUAGUUGUGAAAAAGAAAAAGAGAAGUUGAAUGAGAAGUGUAUCAGCUACCAAAAGGAUCUACACAUCCUAGAAGAGCAACUAAGACAAUUAAAGAAAGAGAAUCACAACACAAAAGAAGAAAUUAAAGCUCUAGAGGCAAAGAACAUGGAAAUGACAGUAAUGCUGAGUCAGUCUGAUCAGAAGAUCAUCAAGCUUGAGAGUGAACUUGCUGAAAAAGAAAUAGUACUUAAAGAGAAAGAUGCUCUAAUAAGUGAAAAUGAAGAGCUGACAGCACUUACUGCACAGCAACAUAACCACUUGAAAUUAUGUCGUCAAGAAAUAGAGGUUUCAAGGGAAGAGCUCAAUAUACUAGAAACCAUUAUUUCUCAGUUGUCUUUAAGCCCAUCUGGAGAGGUUAAAUGGCACCCUUUCAAACAGCAGCUAUUGAGUUCCUCAACAGAAGCUACCUCUGAAUCUUGUGGUGAAUCAAGUAAACCUUUGAUUGCAGAUCUAAGCAUUAAACUGGCAAUGAAAGGAGCAGAAAUUCAAAAGCCUGGUGAAAACUUAACUAUCUGUACUGGAGCUGAUCAUCUUGCGAAUGGUAAUGAAGGACAAGAAAACAGCAGGUUGUGUGACCUGGAAACAGAACCUGUCAAAUUGAUCAGAAAUGCAGGAGAGAGGAGAAAAUAUCAACAGUUGGAACUUAUAAGCAAACAAUUUGAAAAGGUGAGGCAAAAAUUCCAGAAAGAGGUAGAGAAGCUACGCACUAAGCUGAUAAAAGCAGAUGAAGAGAAUUCUGCCUUGAGGACCAGCAUGGCUCAAAGAACCAGUCAGUUUCAAAUCAUACAAGAAGACCUAUUGAAGAAGGCUUCAAAAACUAAUAGCUUAGAGAGAGAAAUAAGAAAGAAGUCUUCUCAGCUUUCUGCACUUGAGAAACAGUUGGAAGAAAAGACUAUUGCUUAUUCCACUGCUGCAGAAAGAAACGCUGAGUUGGAACAGGAACUCAUGGGAAAAAACAGAUGCAUUCAUGAGCUGGAAACGACUAUCAGUGAAGAACAUGAGAAAAUAACUUCUGCUUUUGAAAAUGAAAAGUUGCUUCACCUUGAGCAGCACAAAGAAAUGGAGAGACAGAUUGACCUACUUCAGACACAGCUGGAGACAAUACAUCAACAAUACAUUGAACAAGAGAAAAUAAUAUCUAUGUUACAACAAGAGGUUAUACAGAAACAGCAUCACAUUGAAUCAUUGGAUGAGCUGCUAAUAGGAAAUAGAGAGGAAAUGGAAAAUCAAAAUAUCAAGAAAGAUCAAGGAUUGAAGAUGCUGGAAAGUCAAUUAACAGAAGAAAAAAUCAAAGUACGACAGCUUGAGUCAGCACUAAAUGUUUGUAAGGAAGAAGUUGCGCUGUAUUUGAGCCAGUCACAAGAAAAUAAACAGAUGUUUGAAAAUCAUCUGAAAGAAAGGUCUGAAGAGCUUCAUUAUUUACAGAAAGAAAUAAAAAUAAAAGGUCAGAAUAUUCAGGACAUGAGUGAACAAAACAUUCUCUUGCAACAAACUUUGCAUCAUCAGCAGCAAAUGUUACAGCAAGAAACUAUUAGAAAUGGAGAGCUGGAAGAUAAUCAAAUUAAACUUGAAAAACAGGUAUCCAAUUUGGAAAAAGAGCUUCAGAAACAGAAAGCAUGUGCAGAAAAUAAGUUGAGAAAUGUGGAGGAGAAACUGCGCCUAGCUGCUCACGAAGCAGAUUUAAACACAAAGAAGGUGGAUGAACUUAAUUCUACAAUCAGACAGAUGAAAUUGGAGAUGGCUCAGUGCAAGAAUGAACUUACUGGCAUGGAAAAAGCAGCAGUCCAAUUAAAACAAGAUGGUGCAAACAAAGCACUGCAGAUAAAUCAGUUGGAUAUCACUCUGGAAGAAGCAAGAUCAGAGCUCAAUAAAAAGGCAAACGAGGUGAAUGAUUUUGAAGAUAAGCUGCUUCAAACUGAGACUUGCCACAGGAAAGCCUUACAGAAAAUAGCAGAAUUGGAAUCUGCAUUACAGAAUGCUUGUGGAGAAUUAAAGAUCACUUUAACACAGCUUCAGGAGUUGCAAGAUGCAUUACAGAAUGCACAGUCCUCCCUGGAGGAGAAGAACAUUGCUAUCAUGGAUCUAACAACUGAGCUCAGGUAUUGCAAGGAUGAAAUUGAAGACAAAAAGCAGGAACUCCUUGUCAUGGACCAAGCACUGAAAGAAAGGAAUUGGGAGCUGAAACAAAGAGUAGCUCAGAUUACACAAUUGGAUAUGACAGUUCAUGAGCAUAAGGGAGAAAUGGAGCAACAAAUAAUUCAAUUACAGUGCAAUUUACAGAAGUCAGAGUUGGAAAUUAAGGAAUGCAAUAAACAGAUUGAGAGCUUAGAGAAGAAACUUCAGCGUUCUAAAGAUGAGAUUCGUGAAAAAGAGUUUGAAUUGCUCCAGAGAAAUCAGGAAAUAAAUCAGCUGAAGAAAAAAAAAUGAAAGAAAACAACAUAGCCUAGAAGCUCUUGGAAAGGAACGAGAAGUGAGAAUUUUUUGGCAUAAUGAAUAGGAGUGUGUGGAAGGACUUGAGAAGACAGCUAACUCUGUGAAUUGUACAAAUCUUUGGUUUGGUGCAUGAAUCAAUCUCUACAGGUGCAAGAACUGUGAAGAAAUGACAGCUGCUGCCUAUUGGACAAGCAGUAACCCAGAAAUGCUGUUGCUGGCUGGCAUCAUAACUGUGCACCCAAAGAGGAGAUUUUAAAGUUGUAUUUCUAAAUAAGGAAUGUAGUUAUUUGUACUGAAGCAGAUGACAACCUUUCUAUUUUUCCGACUGUUAGUGGGAUUAUUGCCUUCAUAUAAUAGCAUAUUAAUUUAUCUUUUAUACUUCAGAAUAAAAUUUAUUUAUUUUAAAUUGUA